GUCAGUGUGGUGUAGUGGCCUGAGUGUUGGACUCGGACUCUGGGAGGCCAGGGUUCAAAUCUCUGCUCAGCCA